UUUUUUUUUGAGGGGGCGGCACCCAUAUGGGCACCAAGACUGGACGGGCACCUGUGAAAUUUAUCCGUAACUUAAGUAAAGAAAAGAAUGAACAGACCGCUUCUUUUGUUGAUAUAUCGAAGAACAACUUGGCAGCGAAAAAUGACCGUGUUGACAUUUCGAUUUGACUGUCUGCUGUCAAGUACUUUUAAUAUUUUUUUCUGUAUAUUUGUAAAUUUUCAUGAUGGCAGAAUAUACUUGUAGCCAAGACAGUCCGGCAUCAACUAUAUUAAGUUUAUUCUGUAUGAAAUUUUCUGUCUAGAAAUUGUAAAUGAACAGGAAUAUUGUACAUCUUUUUAACUGUCAGUCACAGAUGUGAACUGGUGAAUAAUUACAUGGUCAUUAUGCACAUACAGUAGAAUCUAUGACAAUUGGAAAAGAAAAGUAGAAUCUACAAUAACACAGGAAAAGUGGUGUUUUAAAUUGUCACUUUUUGUUGUAAUAUCAACUAAAAUAGACCUCCUGAAAAUUUCUAAAUAAUUCUACAUGCAAUUUACAAUAUUUAAAAACUACUUUUUUCACUCUCACUACUGUCAGUACUUGCAGACAGCAUACUGGUAGGCUACUAAAUAAAUAAAAAAAAAUUUGUUUACAUUUUUCAGGACAACCUCCAGCAGUAUGAGAUAUAAAUGUUCACUGCAGUUUUGACAAUGCCCAUCAAGUGGAGUUGCUGUGAGUUCUCAUGCAGUGUAUGAAAAGUACAGUACUGCUGUUGGAAGAGGAGCAGUGUGGUAUCUAUGGUCCACCAUCACUUCAAGCAUUAUGACUAUGGAUAAUAGAAGGUUUCAUUACAUAUGGACAACUAUAUUAGACAAAAUAAGAAGUGUUCUAAUAAGUUCUGGAAUGUGGCUUGUUAUGAUGGGUCUACAUGAUUGACUUGGAGUACAACCUGAUGGGGACUGGGCUUGCAGAAUUCAGUCCUGAACAUGUUUAGAAUGUCAGAAUGACCUAGUAUAGUAUUCUUGAAGGAUUAUAACUUCAACACAGAGACGGAGAUUAAUAUUUUAGGCAGGGGAUUGGCAUGACAGGCAAAUUCUCCAACUGUAUUACCAUUCCUGAGCUGGAUGCCAGCCGACAGUGGUACCUGUAUAAUGAAAUAGCGCCCCUUUGCAGCAACAGCAUUGUAUGCUCAAAACUAGCAGUGCCAAAGCCAUUAAAAUUGAGAACUCGGUGAUUUAAAACAAAGAAUGAAUGGAAAAAAGUGUUUAACAUUUAAAGUAAUACAGAG